GCCAGUAGCCAGACCAAUGGCGACCCUGCCUUAGCCGAAUCUCUGAAGCUAAGCAGGUGUGGGCUUGGUUGGUACUUGGAUGGCAGACCAACUGGGAACACUUGAGUUGCUGCUGGAA
rnacentral:rRNA from 10 species